GUGGGAAACCACGGCUAAUACCCCGGAUGUUAAAGAGUUUAGACAUCUUUAACUAAAGUUCCGGCGCCUCGGGAGGGGCCUGCGGGCUAUCAGCUUGUUGGUGGGGUAACGGCCUACCAAGGCUAAGACGGCUAGGGGGCGUGAGAGCGCGACCCCCCACAAUGGAACUGAGAAACGGUCCAUACUCCUACGGGAGGCAGCAGUGAGGAAUAUUGCACAAUGGGGGAAACCCUGAUGCAGCAACGCCGCGUGAACGAUGAAGGCCUUCGGGUUGUAAAGUUCUUUUAUGGGGGACGAUAGUGACGGUACCUCAGGAAUAAGUCCCGGCUAACUACGUGCCAGCAGCCGCGGUAAAACGUAGGGGGCGAGCGUUAUCCGGAUUUAUUGGGCGUAAAGCGCAAGUAGGCAGCGUUGUAAGUUGGACGUGAAAGCUCCCGGCUCAACUGGGAGAGGUCGUUCAAAACUACAGUGCUCGAGGUUGGAAGAGGAGAGUAGAAUUCCCGGUGUAGUGGUGGAAUGCGUAGAUAUCGGGAGGAAUACCAGUGGCGAAAGCGACUCUCUGGUCCACACCUGACGCUGAGGUGCGAAAGCGUGGGUAGCGAACGGGAUUAGAUACCCCGGUAGUCCACGCCGUAAACGAUGGAUACUAGGUGUAGGGGGUCACUGAAUCCCUCUGUGCCGUAGCAAACGCGUUAAGUAUCCCGCCUGGGGACUACGGCCGCAAGGUUAAAACUCAAAGGAAUUGACGGGGGCCCGCACAAGCAGCGGAGCGUGUGGUUUAAUUCGAUGAUACGCGAAGAACCUUACCUGGGCUGAACUACGUGGUAGUAGAGAAGCGAAAGCGGAUCGACCCUUCGGGGAGCCUCGAUAGGUGCUGCAUGGCUGUCGUCAGCUCGCGUCGUGAGAUGUUGGGUUAAGUCCCGCGACGAGCGCAACCCUUGUCGUUAGUUAUACGUGUCUAGCGAGACUGCCGGUAUCAAACCGGAGGAAGGUGGGGAUGACGUCAAGUCAGCAUGGUCUUUAUGUCCAGGGCUACACACACGCUACAAUGGCCGGUACAACAGGUUGCUAUACCGCGAGGUGGAGCUAAUCC
rnacentral:rRNA from 1 species